AUACGUAGGUCCCGAACGUUGCGCGAAAUUACUGGGCGUAAAGGGUCCGUAGGCGGUCUGGUAAGUGGAAGGUGAAAGCCUGGGGCUCAACUCCAGAAUUGGCUUCCAAACUGCCGGACUUGAGGCAGGGAGAGGUCGGCGGAAUUCCCGGUGUAGUGGUGAAAUGCGUAGAUAUCGGGAGGAACACCAGUGGCGAAGGCGGCCGACUGGAACUGUCCUGACGCUGAGGGACGAAAGCCAGGGGAGCGAACCGGAUUAGAUACCCUAGUAGUCC
rnacentral:rRNA from 1 species